UCUGCAGCAGCGCGCGCUUAUGCUCCGCCAGCUCUUCGCGCAGGCGGAUCGUCGCCUCCAGAUCCUCGCCGCGUUCCAGUCUCGGCUGCAGAUCC
rnacentral:tRNA from 1 species